UACGGGGGGGCAAGCGUUGUUCGGAAUUACUGGGCGUAAAGGGUGCGUAGGCGGCGCGGUAAGUCGGGUGUGAAAUCUCGGGGCUUAACUCCGAAACUGCAUUCGAUACUACCGUGCUUGAGGACUGGAGAGGAGACUGGAAUUUACGGUGUAGCGGUGAAAUGCGUAGAUAUCGUAAGGAAGACCAGUGGCGAAGGCGGGUCUCUGGACAGUUCCUGACGCUGAGGCACGAAGGCCAGGGGAGCAAACGGG
rnacentral:rRNA from 1 species